UACAGAGGGUGCGAGCGUUGUCCGGAAUCACUGGGCGUAAAGGGCGCGUAGGCGGCUUGAUAAGCGUGCGGUGAAAGCCCGGGGCUCAACCCCGGGUCGGCCGUGCGAACUGUCGAGCUGGAGCACUGUAGAGGCAGGUGGAAUUCCGGGUGUAGCGGUGGAAUGCGUAGAGAUGUGGAGGAAUACCGAUGGCGAAGGCAGCCCCCUGGGCCAAUACUGACGCUCAUACACGAAAGCGUGGGGAGCAAACAGG
rnacentral:rRNA from 1 species